ACAGAAGAAUGAGGAAGAGCUCAGCAGGGACAAAUACACUUGGAGAUCUCCAGCUAAUUCUGAAGAUUUGACUGGUCGCUCAACUUCAAUUUGCAAAUCCCGGUACUUUGUGAUUUUUUCUUGCUGCUUAUCUUCAAUCCGUGCAUCACCAGGUAUUGCAAUGUCAAUGAACCAUACUUUUUUCUUUUCAACUAUUGUUAUGUCAGGUGUGUUGUGGACCAAGUGCCUGUCAGUCUGAAUCCUAAAGUCCCACAAGAUCUUGAGUUUCUCAUUCUCUAAAACUUUCUCAACCUGAUGUUCCCAGUGGUUUUUGCUGUACUCAAAUCCAAACUUCUGGCACAAUUUCCAGUGAAUGAUCUUAGCAACACGGUCAUGGCGUUGUAGGUAGUCAGUUUGUGAAAUUUUGCUGCACCCACUAAUCAGGUGGUCGA